UAAAAGCAAAUACCCUAAAAUCUUUUGCUUUCUGAUUGCUUUUACAAUCGGCAUUCACUCUUUCAUUUCAAUCAUCACUCCCUAAUGCCGAAACCCAAAAUCUUAUCCCCUUUCCUUCUACUCUGAACAACCAAGGCAAUUUGGCUCUGAUUCAUCCCAAAUCGAUCUUAAGGUCUCUCCCUCCAGGUACUGUUCUUCUUUCUUCUUUAGUGAUCUUUUUGCUAAUCUAUGCGCUUCUAUAUUUUCAAACCUUGGGAUGAAAUAGAAUCUGACUUUUUGAAAGAAAUCUUUUAAGCUUUGAAUGUCACUGAUAAUUGCUCCUAUUUCUGAUUAGUCUCGAUUUUCACUUUGACAUUUUGUUAUCACUGCUCUUGAAUCUCCUAUUAUGUCUAAAGUGUGAUAUCCCAACUGGGCCCCUAACAUUGUUGCUUGAAAUCCUGCAUGUGCUUCUGCCGCAAACGGAGAUGCAACAUUGUCAUGAAGGAUUGAUUUUGCUCCAACGAUUCUACCCUCCUCAUUUUUAAUGAUGAGGCCUGACGCUGAUCUGUGGUUCUGUGAGUCAAAAGCCGCAUCGAAAAAGAUGGCCUUAGUCGCCCUUUGUAGCCUCUGUCUAGGCCUUACGCCGGUUUCCAAGGUAAUUACCUUUUCUUUAACUCCUUCCAAUUCUGAAAUGUAGCUUUUAAUUUGCUUGGAUAAAUCCCAACUGGUGCUAAAUUUAUCUUCGCAUAUUAGCUUAUUCCUGCUUGUCCAGAUUACCCAUAAACCGCAGCAAAAUCCCAUGCACUGUUCAUUUGUCCCUUUGCUGAAAACCCAGGUAAGCCAACUCCAGAGAUCUACAUGAUUGUUGUUAAGUACCCAGGAAAAAUUCAAAUGACUCCAUAUUUCUUUCACUACAGGGCAUCUUUGGAAGACAUGGAUGCUAUCUUUUUUUUCCUGACCACAUCUCGAACAGAAGUCCUCAGUCAUUACUCUUCUCAGCUUUAGAUUGGAGAAAGUGGGGAUGUAAUUCCACGUAAUUUUCCAUACUGUAAUUUUAAUUUUUGAAGGCAUAUGUAGAUUCCAUAAUUUCCUGUAAAAAUUUUUAAAAUCGGGCUAUAAAUAAGCAUUAGGAUCAAUUGUAGUCUCUUGUAAUAGUUUAUAGGCGCUUCUUACUGAAAAGAUUCCAGUUGCCUCUCCUCUCCAUACUUGGAUGUCUUCGUGAAUAGUCUUUGAAAGCGAGAUCUACAAGAUCUUCUUUGUGAUAUUCGUAUUAAAGGUACUGAUAAUCAAAUCUCUGUUCCAUGUUCUACUUUCUUUGUUGAUUAAGUCGGCCACUACUCUGAUACUUUCGCCACUGUUGUUGUUCUGUAAUCUGUCUUCAG
rnacentral:lncRNA from 1 species